rnacentral:rRNA from 1 species
UGGGGAAUUUUGGACAAUGGGCGCAAGCCUGAUCCAGCCAUGCCGCGUGCAGGAUGAAGGCCUUCGGGUUGUAAACUGCUUUUGUACGGAACGAAAAGUCUCUUUCUAAUAAAGAGGGAUCAUGACGGUACCGUAAGAAUAAGCACCGGCUAACUACGUGCCAGCAGCCGCGGUAAUACGUAGGGUGCAAGCGUUAAUCGGAAUUACUGGGCGUAAAGCGUGCGCAGGCGGUUAUGUAAGACAGAGGUGAAAUCCCCGGGCUCAACCUGGGAACUGCCUUUGUGACUGCAUGGCUAGAGUGCGGCAGAGGGGGAUGGAAUUCCGCGUGUAGCAGUGAAAUGCGUAGAUAUGCGGAGGAACACCGAUGGCGAAGGCAAUCCCCUGGGCCUGCACUGACGCUCAUGCACGAAAGCGUGGGGAGCAAACA